UACGUAGGGUGCAAGCGUUGUCCGGAAUUAUUGGGCGUAAAGAGCUCGUAGGCGGUCUGUCGCGUCGGCUGUGAAAUCCCGAGGCUCAACCUCGGGUCUGCAGUCGAUACGGGCGGACUGGAGUUCGGCAGGGGAGACUGGAAUUCCUGGUGUAGCGGUGAAAUGCGCAGAUAUCAGGAGGAACACCGGUGGCGAAGGCGGGUCUCUGGGCCGAUACUGACGCUGAGGAGCGAAAGCGUGGGGAGCGAACAGG
rnacentral:rRNA from 1 species